UGUUAUUUUUAGAUUUGGGCAGAAGAAUGCAAAGACUCUCCUAUUCUGACUUUUAAGAAUGAUGAAUAUUCAAUUAACGAUGCUUGCUGGAAUUCAUUUUGCCCAUCCGUUUUCUUCGCUGCGAAAGACAAUGGAAUAAUUGAGACAUGGAAUAUUUUAACAAGUCAUUCAGAACCUUUUUCUAAAAUAAAAGUAACAGAAGAAGGAUUACAGACAUUACGUCUAAAUGAAAAAAAUAAAUUGUUAGCAGCAGGUUCUAAGAAAGGAAAGAUUGUCCUGAUUGCAUUGGCUGAAGAUUUAAAAAAACCACAUAAAACUGACAAGACUCUUCUAUCAAAUAUGUUUGAAAGAGAA